UUAGUUUAUGUUCUCUCAGCCUGCGCUUAAUUGCGCGGCGAGGAACAGACAACCUUACACACUGUGUUUUUGUUUUUUUGAAACAUUGCUUUGGCUUGGCUUAAUUGUCGGGCCAGAGACCAACCUAAACUUCAGAUUUAUUUUUGAAUUGUUUUUUAAUUUGUUUGUCAAUUUUGUUUGAUUAAUUUCAAAAUAAUCUUCAAAACUUUCAACAACGGAUCUCUUGGUUCUCGCAUCGAUGAAGAACGCAGCGAAAUGCGAUAAGUAAUAUGAAUUGCAGAUUUUCGUGAAUCAUCGAAUCUUUGAACGCACAUUGCGCCCUCUGGUAUUCCGGAGGGCAUGCCUGUUUGAGCGUCAUUUCUCUCUCAAACCGCAAGGUUUGGUAUUGAGUGAUACUCUUAGUCUGACUGGGCGUUUGCUUGAAAUGUAACGGCAGGAGUGUACUGGAUAGUACGAACUGGUUAUUCAAUGUAUUAGGUUUAUCCAACUCGUUGAAACGCUGGGGUAGUAAAUUUCUAGUAAUCUGGCUCGGCCUUAUAACAACAAACACAAGUUUGACCUCAAAUCAGGUAGGAUUACCC
rnacentral:misc_RNA from 1 species